UACGUAGGGGGCAAGCGUUGUCCGGAUUUAUUGGGCGUAAAGAGCGUGUAGGCGGUCAGGUAGGUCCGUUGUGAAAACUCGAGGCUCAACCUCGAGACGCCGAUGGAAACCAUCUGACUAGAGUCCGGAAGAGGAGAGUGGAAUUCCUGGUGUAGCGGUGAAAUGCGCAGAUAUCAGGAGGAACACCUGUGGCGAAAGCGGCGCACUGGACCACAACUGACGCUGAGGCGCGAAAGCUAGGGGAGCAAACAGG
rnacentral:rRNA from 1 species